rnacentral:rRNA from 1 species
ACGGAAGGCAGCAGUGGGGAGUAUUGGGCAAUGGGCGAAAGCCUGACCCAGCGACGCCGCGUGAGGGAAGAAGGUCUUCGGAUUGUAAACCUCUUUCAGCAGGGAAGAAGCAAGUGACGGUACCUGCAGAAGAAGUCACGGCUAACUACGUGCCAGCAGCCGCGGUAAUACGUAGGGGGCGAGCGUUAUCCGGAAUGACUGGGUGUAAAGGGUGUGUAGGCGGAGAAGCAAGUCCGGCGUGAAAUUUAUGGGCUCAACCCAGAAACUGCGUUUGAAACUGUUGGCCUUGAGAGUGGAAGAGGUAAACGGAAUUCCUGGUGUAGUAGUGAAAUGCGUAGAUAUCGGGAGGAACACCAGUGGCGAAGGCGGUUUACUGGACCACAACUGACGCUGAGACACGAAAGCGUGGGGAGCAAACAGGAUUAGAUACCCUGGUA